GAGAUCAUAAUUAUUUUUUAGCAGCACCGCUUCCCGUCCGCUCAGCGAAGUUAAGCAUGUUCGGGCCUGGUUAGUACUACGGUGGGGGACCACGUUGGAAUCCCAGGUGUUGUAUUCC